rnacentral:tRNA from 1 species
CGCCAGUUAGCCUAGAGGUAAGGCUUUGGAUCGUCAAUCCAGAGACGGUGGGUUCGAUUCCCAUUCCGGUCG